rnacentral:rRNA from 1 species
GGGUCAUUGGAAACUGGGGAACUUGAGUGCAGAAGAGGAGAGUGGAAUUCCACGUGUAGCGGUGAAAUGCGUAGAGAUGUGGAGGCACACCAGUGGCGAAGGCGACUCUCCUGGUCUGUAACUGACGCUGAGGAGCGAAAGCGUGGGGAGCGAACAGGAUUAGAUACCGUGGUAGUCCACGCCGUAAACGAUGAGUGCUAAGUGUUAGGGGGUCUCCGCCCCUUAGUGCUGCAGCUAACGCAUUAAGCACUCCGCCUGGGGAGUACGGUCGCAAGACUGAAACUCAAAGGAAUUGACGGGGGCCCGCACAAGCGGUGGAGCAUGUGGUUUAAUUCGAAGCAACGCGAAGAACCUUACCAGGUCUUGACAUCCUCUGACAAUCCUAGAGAUAGGACGUCCCCUUCGGGGGCAGAGUGACAGGUGGUGCAUGGUUGUCGUCAGCUCGUGUCGUGAGAUGUUGGGUUAAGUCCCGCAACGAGCGCAACCCUUGAUCUUAGUUGCCAGCAUUCAGUUGGGCACUCUAAGGUGACUGCCGGUGACAAACCGGAGGAAGGUGGGGAUGACGUCAAAUCAUCAU